GACAUGGAUUUUUUUAAAUCCACUUAAGAUUUUUUAAAAAGGGACU
rfam:Tupaia chinensis contig83443, whole genome shotgun sequence.